CUGGCUGAGGAGAUGAUGUGGAGACUACGUUCUCUGAGUUCUUGUCCAAGGUACACAUUGAAUAGGGCAUUAAAUCAUGAUUUAUUUUUUCAGUUCUUGAUAUUUUAAGGGGUUGUAAUGGCAACAGAAUGCAGUGGGAGUUUUCAAGAUAGAUAGUUUUGUAGAACCCUGAAAAAGGUCUUUAAGUCUUGUUAAAGUCCAGAUCAAAAAUUCUAAUGGUCCAGGUGCCCCAGAUGACUCAAAAAUCCAGUUGUCCUCUUCUUGUGAAAAAACAUGGCUGUAUAAAACACAUUGUAGGCAAUUGGAAAUGACAGUCAGUGAGGGGUUAAACCAGACCAUGCGAGCUAAUUACUACACUGGGGAUAUAGUCUAUGACUCCAGCAAGCUAACCCUAUGUUAAAACCAACAGCGAAACAGAGGAAUGACACAUAGUCAACCCUAAGCACACCAGGACAAUCUGCUUCUCCACUACCUAAAGAUUCUUUAUUGAUUUAACGAUGUUAGUCUCUCUGUCAGGUUCACAGAUGGAUUCGAGAGAAAAAUGAACUAUUUCCACAUUGAUUCUUCAUUAAAAUUGCAUUUAUGCGUUUGCUAAAUUGGUUUAAAAAGCCUAUUUGCGAAUUCUCCUUGAUUAUCAGAUCUGCAGUGCCUAAGGCAAGCAUUACUUAAAGGUUGGACUUUGAUAAAGGGGGGUGGGGGUGGGAGAGUGAUUAAAUGUUUCUGUCCAUUUUUUUUUUUUACCCCCAAAAUAGAGUAAAACCAGACAAUUAUCCAUUAUUUUUUUUUAGUUAUGUCUGUUAUAUAGUUCAUUAUUUCGAUUGUAUGCAAAUUUCCUUACUUUGAUGUUGUUUGGAACUUAGUAAAGUGAGGAAUCCAUGCACUAUUGAAAAAAGAAAAUAAUUAUAUAUUGUAUUAUCAAACAGCACAAUGCCAACAACAUUAGCUAAAGCAAAUAAAACAAUUAUAAAUUCAACUCCAUUUUACUUUAAGUUGGCAGUCCUACAGAGACCGAUUGUUUACUUGAUCGCCAAAACUAAGACAGAUUUAUAAAAUCUUAUAUUAACUUCCAGUUUUUUUUAAUAUAAGAAUUUUUAGAGUUAAUGAAUUAAUUCGAUUUUUUUUCAGUCGAAACUGCAGCCCAGUUGAAGUCACUAUCAGCUGAUCAUUUAAAAUCCGGGAGAGGUGGAACAGGUGAACUUUGAAAGUUUAUUAUUUUGCAGAUUACAUCAACAGUAGAAAAGAUAAAUGGAGUUGAUAAUAAGAAAAUUAUAAUAGGUAUGGAUACAUCAGGAUUCCAUAUAUAUAACACUAUAUAUAUCGUGUCUAUGUUCAAAUAAUGUAUUCAUAUUAACAAAAUAAGGUCACACACGUUAG